rnacentral:rRNA from 1 species
GAGUGAUGAAGGUUUUCGGAUCGUAAAGCUCUGUUGUUAGGGAAGAACAAGUGCGAGAGUAACUGCUCGCACCUUGACGGUACCUAACCAGAAAGCCACGGCUAACUACGUGCCAGCAGCCGCGGUAAUACGUAGGUGGCAAGCGUUGUCCGGAAUUAUUGGGCGUAAAGGGCUCGCAGGCGGUUUCUUAAGUCUGAUGUGAAAGCCCCCGGCUCAACCGGGGAGGGUCAUUGGAAACUGGGAAACUUGAGUGCAGAAGAGGAGAGUGGAAUUCCACGUG